rnacentral:pre_miRNA from 1 species
AGCCUUCCAUAUCCAUACCGAGAUUUUAUCAGACGACGGACCAUCUGUUGUGAUGAAACUUCUAAGAUGAGUGAAGUG